GCAAACAUGGCACAGUGGUUUGAGUGUUAGAUAACAACUCUGAAGAUCCGGGUUCAAUUCCCAGCUUGGCC